AUAAUUGCAUAUUUGAUUAGUAGUUGCGGAGCGCAAUAAUGAAAGGUUUGGAUAGGAUUCUAACUUUGUGCCGAUUUAAUAAAGAGAAUAAGAUUUUCAACUUCUUAAUGGAAACUAGUGGAGUGGUGUGACAUUGGCCACCACCACAUCCUCCUUUUGAUUAGGCCACUUUGGCGUAUUUUUCUUGUAAAAAAAACAUUACAACUUUACAUUAAUGCAAAGCUCCAUACACCAAAAAAAAAAGAAGAAUUUAUGUUUGCAAGUGCUUUAACUUUUUCUUCUCAUGAUAAAAGCUUCAUUGCAAUGUCG
rnacentral:lncRNA from 1 species